AUUGAACGCUGGCGGCAUGCCUUACACAUGCAAGUCGAACGGCGGCAUGAUCUAGCUUGCUAGAUUGAUGGCGAGUGGCGAACGGGUGAGUAAUACAUCGGAACGUGCCCUGUAGUGGGGGAUAACUAGUCGAAAGAUUAGCUAAUACCGCAUACGACCUGAGGGUGAAAGUGGGGGACCGCAAGGCCUCAUGCUAUAGGAGCGGCCGAUGUCUGAUUAGCUAGUUGGUGAGGCAAAGGCUCACCAAGGCGACGAUCAGUAGCUGGUCUGAGAGGACGAUCAGCCACACUGGGACUGAGACACGGCCCAGACUCCUACGGGAGGCAGCAGUGGGGAAUUUUGGACAAUGGGGGCAACCCUGAUCCAGCAAUGCCGCGUGUGUGAAGAAGGCCUUCGGGUUGUAAAGCACUUUUGUCCGGAAAGAAAUCGCACUUACUAAUAUUAGGUGUGGAUGACGGUACCGGAAGAAUAAGGACCGGCUAACUACGUGCCAGCCGCCGCCGUAAGAC
rnacentral:rRNA from 1 species